AGGGCUUAGGUCGGGUGAUUGGCCGGGCUAUCUUUUCUUUUGUUGAGGUAGGACGGAGGGGGCUUGGUGGGUGAAGGGCUAGGGUAGAGCGGUGGCAGCGGUGGGGAAGGGGGCGGCGGCACGCGGAAGUGGGGAGCGCGGCGGCGGCCGGAGGGGGCAAGGUCGCGCGGCGCCGGCCGGAGGGGGCAAGGUCGCGCGGCGGCGCCCGGAGGGGCAAGGUCGCGCGGCGGCGCCCGAAGGGGGAAGGUCGCGCGGCGGCGCCCUGACGGGGGAAGGUCCCGCGGUGGCGGCGGGGGACCGAAGUUAGACGGCGGCAGCCUAGGGGGCCGAAGGUGUACGGCGGCAGCAGGGGGACCGAAGUGGACGGCGGCACCGCAGGGGCGAAGGUGGUUGGCAGCAGCCCCCAGUGGGGGCUGUGGAGGUGGCAGCGGUGUGCACUGCGCGGAGGAGGGUUCCUGCGCCAGCGGAGGGGCGCGGAGGACGGCCGCUGCGCUGGUGAGGAGGGCCGUUACGCGGUACACACCGGGUACAAGGCCGCAGCGGGAGGCCCCGGAGUCGCGCGUCCGGCAAGUUGAGGCGGUGGUCUCCGGCAAGUGGAGACGGUGGACUCCGGUAAGUGGUGGUGGUCAGGGGCAGGUUCCGGCGGGGCUACUGGGUGGGCACGCAAUUGCGGGGACAGUUGGGGCACCUUAAAACAAAGAGAGUCGAAGUUUUUCUCCAACGUCGUUUUUGUUCUACGUGUUCAAGUAGAAAACAUACGAAAAGUCAUGUAGAUGAAGGGUUAGCACUCAGACUAAAGGAAACACAAAGGUAGAAGAAGUAUAUCGUGUUUGUUCAGGAACACCAAUACGAACUCUUACUCGUGGUAUGACAGUGAACCAAUUAGUUAAAACAUCUUUCAAGAGCCCCUAAAGAAAUACAUCUCAACAACGAUUGAAGUAUUAAUAUGUCUAGUACGUAAGAUAGGUUACUCGGUAGUUAAUUUCGUUAAAGGUUAUAUCUCUCCCUUUAUAUGUUCUAACGGUUGAUUAUAUAUGAGGGAGACAUUUGAUUAUCUAAGGGUUGAUGAGGGAGACAUUUGAUUAUAUUCUCACAAAUCUAGUGAUUUCAUCACUAGAUUUGCGAGAAUAUAAUCAAAUGCCUCCCUUAUUAUUAAUAUAAAGAAAUGCCUCCCUCAUCAUUACGAGACGAAUCGUGUAACGAACAUCAACAUCGUCAAUGGAAAGAAAACCUCAAUCCAUUAAUUAUUUAUUAGUUCUCCCUACCACGUGGCAGUGCUGGCGAACGGUGGGGGUGUCGACGAUGUUUAAGAACACACGCAGCGACAAGGGAUGAGGUCGCACACAGUGGUCGCAGCACUGGAGGGGGUCGGUCGGGGGUGCUGAACGGAGCUACCACGGGGGUUCAGAGAGAUCUUGGUGGUACUACUUAUCUUUAGGUAGGUUGAUAAGUGAGUGCCAGAGUACUAGUAAAAGAACAUAUUCACACGGAAAAGACGACAUAAGAGGAAGAAUAAUGAACAGUUUUAAAUCAAACUUAGGCGAUGUUAAAGGUACUCACCUAAAAAAAAAAGUUUUGCCUUAAAGGUACUAACUUAAAUUUUUAGUUGUUUGCAUUUCAAAAUUUUACGUAUGUUGUUGAUGUUUUAUAUUAAAUCAAGUCAGGUCAAACAUUACGACGAGGUGGAAGGCCAGUAACUGCUCCGGGACCCGUCCGCGAAGGAGGAGGAGAGUCCUUGGCUGGGUUGGUGACGGCGGUACCGUGCCGCGGAGGUGGAGAGCCGCUUCCUGGUGGUGGAGGGGCUGCUGCACGGGUUGGGGCUACUCCGGGCGGCCGGGACCUCAAGGACGGCGCUGCGGAGCUGGAGGACAAGUCGGUACCUAAGAACGGUAGUAGGUGCAGUAGUCCUUGUGCUAACCCGGCCCCCUCUUCCGUCUUGGAGACCCACGUACUACCUUUGGUACUACGUACCAUCUUGUCUGGAGCUUAGACUCAAGAAGUACCUCAUACCACUUUAUUUGGCCAUAGUCCAACCACCACUAAUUCCGGCGAUGCAGUCAGGUUAGGGUGGAGGGUCUUUCCAGUGGCGGCGAUGUAGUAGAGCGUUUGGCUCGGGGGGCCACGACGUAGAACAGCUCGAGUGACGGAACGACACCAAGGUCACCCCCUGCCCGCCCGAGUAUGUGUCCUCCUACCUACGGGACCAGACCAUGCUGGUCCUACCAUAGCCACGAGGCCGGUUGAGGUAGCUAGACGAGUUCUACCAAGUACCUGGACGAGGGCGACCGUAGCGCCUGCGACCGGCCACCACCUAGAACUCGUGGCGGAGACCAGGGGACACGAGGCUGCUAGCACCGACGGUGGUCGUACGCACACAGCAGCCAGGAGGCUCCGUGGAGAGCGAAACACAACAGGUAUCGGCGGGUGUGUACGACGGGGCUAAAGAUGGAGUGGAGGUUCGAACUACCUGACGAUAAUAACCAACCACAAAGUACUUACGUGGCUACUUCGUAGUACACUCGACUUCCAAAACAAGGGAUGUAGACAAACACUUUAAGGAUGUUCUUGAUUACUACACUAAUUACAAGGUUUGUGUCUUAGAUUCACCAAAAAGUAUAUCGAUGUAGAUUACUUGACGUCUAGUGAAAACUACACGGAUGACCACGCACGCACACACAACACCCGAACAGCGCACGUAGGCGACCACCCACGUACCCACGGAGGACGACCGUUUUUGUAUGUGAGACAUGUUUUCUUGCAAUUUUGUAUGUGGGUCUUUAUGUACUACAAGAUCUACAUAAGACCCACCAGGCCGUGGCGACGCAGAUCGCCAGGUUGGAGCGGCGGGCUCCGGCAAGUGGCAGCGAAGUAAGAACAAAAAUCAAGUCAGUCAGAGAAUAAAAUAAAAGGAAGUUAAAGAUUAAAAUGAUUUCAAAUUAAAGAUUAAGGUUUGUCAAACACAUUUAAGGGUAGCUCGUCCAGACUGAAUAACAAAGAGAUUUCGCCGGUUUAGGGCCGCUUGGAGAGGAGGUCGAGGUGAAGCUCCGCGGCAGUCAGGUGUCCUCGUACCCGCCACACGAGUAGUGGUUUUUUCUCACGAACCUUUGAAUUUUAAGACAUGUGUAAGCCCUUUGUCUUCAACAUCGAAGAAAGUUUCAAGUUUUGUUUUUUAUAUAAGUCAAGUUGAACAAGAUCGUUUGGUACACGCUCUGUGGUAUCUUACUUUUACAACAACGCAACGGUCCAGAGGUUAACCAAGUUGAUGUCUAUUCAAUGUAGGCAAGCUGAUGUAUAUAAUGUGAUCAAGUUGACUCACGCAGUGUGGUUAACUGGAUUCAAAAUGUAUACAUAAAUCUUUUUUGACAUCUAAAACUACUACGUUCGAAUCAAGGAAAAAGAUAAAGGAUAUUCAAGUUCACUAGUUAACGAUAUAUAAACCACCCAACAAAUGAGUAUGUCAAUUUUUUUCACUUAAUACAAGUACCGGUCGCUCUACGAGUAGUAAACGGUGUAGGUAGAGAUGACUUAAUACAAGUAGAGAAAGUCAAGUAGAAACUUUAAAACCAGGUAAAAGACAGGCACACCGAACUGCACGUCGGGCGGCCGAGUCAGCACAUGCAGGUCUGUUCUGUGAUACCACGUUAAAUUACGUACUUAUACACAAACUCUCACCUACUUGGGUAUGGACUUCCGAGACCCGAGGGCUGAUAUCGUUGCCACAGUUUAAGCGGUACCGGCCGAGUUGCCACAGGGCGCCGCAGAGGGUUAAGGGACUUGUAGGUCGAGCUAGGCAAGCAGAUGAUGUUCGCGUCUAGGGAUCUCGAGAUUUUAAGACAUAGUCCCAUUAAAAAAGUAGUCAAGAUUUUAAGGGUCUCGUAGUCAGGUUGUUGCAUGGCCCCAUAUGACACAACGAGGACGUUAAAAAACAUACGAACAUACAUGUUUUUUAUACCAUGUCAAUGACGAAACUACACAGCACCACGCUUACAACAACUACAAGUUUCAAACACUUCUCUUUCUGAAGUUUUUGAGCACAGCGGUUACCUUACUUAAUGAUCUUCAAGUUUAAACG
rnacentral:rRNA from 1 species